rnacentral:rRNA from 1 species
CGACCCCAGGUCAGGCGGGACCACCCGC